ensembl:piRNA 21ur-2405 ncRNA
UACUAGACGAAUGCUAAUAGA